rnacentral:rRNA from 1 species
UACGGAGGGGGCGAGCGUUAUUCGGAAUUAUUGGGCGUAAAGGGCGCGUAGGCGGCGCGAUAAGUCAAAGGUGAAAUCCCUCGGCUCAACUGAGGAACUGCCUUUGAAACUGUCGUGCUUGAGGCCGGGAGGGGGUAGCGGAAUUCCCAGUGUAGCGGUGAAAUGCGUAGAUAUUGGGAGGAACACCAGUGGCGAAGGCGGCUACCUGGACCGGUUCUGACGCUGAUGCGCGAAAGCGUGGGGAUCGAACAGG